CUAAAAUAUUCAAAAUGUCACGUUCAGGGAAAUUGGCCGUGUCAAUGUCUCUCUCUCUCUCUCGUCAGUAUCGUUUCUUCGAGAAGCUAGGGUUCUGCGAGGUUAAAUCGCACCGACCCUGUUGUAUGUAGGCCUCUGACUUCGAUAGUGCAGGCUUUGAGCGAAGGUGAACCGCUGAGAUGGGUCCACAGAUGAGUGCCUCAAAUUCAUGCUACUUGUCUACUGAUUUCAUCUCACACUUUUCACUCACUCACUCACUCACCUCCACUAAAUAAUUUUACUUGAGAGAAUAUUGAAAAGCUAAUGCUAGAUCGUAUCGGUUAGUAUUUGAUAAAUUUAUUUGAUUGGGCUUGUUAAUAUGUGAAGAUCUUCCAAGAAAAAUGGUGGGUAUUGCAUUUAAUUGUUGCGUUAUGUAAUGAGCUGAUUUCUGAAAUGGGAAAGAUUUAUUUUUUAUGAAA